UUUAAGGGUUUUAUUGGCAUGGGAAACAUAUGUUAACAAGCAAGUGAAGUAGAUAAUAAACUAAAGUGAAAUAAACAAUCAAAAUUAACAGUCUCUCUCUCUCUCUUUCUCUCUGCAUGUCAAGGAGAUGAGUAUAGUGAUGCUGGUGGUGAAGGGGGUGGGCAUUAGCCUACACAUCCUGAUGAUUUCCAUGUAGUGACCUCAGUGUCUGCAGGUCUAUCUAUAUGUGCUGCAGAGUGAAACUGGUUCAAACCGGCCGGAGGUUAGACUUCUAAACCACCAGAGAACUCAGCUAUCUGUGGUGACUAAGUGUUAAAACUGUCAACUUCUCUGUUCUAAAGUUACCAUGUUUAUUUCAGUAGAGGAGGAACACAUUGUUGAGAUGAUGACAAUAUAGUUAAAGUAUACAUCAAUAUAUUUUAUAACUUUUUUUCUGACAUUUAUUGAUCAAAAUACAGUCUUUGUAAAUGGAUUUCCAAAAGUAAAAAUGGUUACAAAGAAUAACAUUUUACUAAAACUCUCCUGUCUCUGUGUCAGUUUAAUGGUGUCAUCAUUUCAGUUUGGGUCUGUUGUGUUGAGGGUUUGGUAGGUGGAGUCUUGGGUUGUUGUGUCGAGGGUUUGGUAGGUGGAGUCUUGGGUUGUUGUGUUGAGGGUUUGGUAGGUGGAGUCUUGGGUUGUUGUGUUGAGGGUUUGGUAGGUGGAGUCUUGGGUUGUUGUGUCGAGGGUUUGGUAGGUGGAGUCUUGGGUUGUUGUGUUGAGGGUUUGGUAGGUGGAGUCUUGGGUUGUUGUGUUGAGGGUUUGGUAGGUGGAGUCUUGGGUUGUUGUGUUGAGGGUUUGGUAGGUGGAGUCUUAGGUUGCUGUGUUGAGGGUUUGGUAGGUGGAGUCUUGGGUUGUUUGUAGGUGGAGUCUUGGGUUGGUUUGUUGAAUGUUUGGUUGGUGGAGUCUUGGGCUGGUUUGUUGAAUGUUUGGUUGGUGGAGUCUUGGGCUGGUUUGUUGAAUGUUUGGUUGGUGGAGUCUUGGGUUGUUGUGUUGAGGGUUUGGUAGGUGGAGUCUUGGGUUGUUGUGUUGAGGGUUUGGUAGGUGGUGUCUUGGGUUGCUAUGUUGAGGGUUUGGUAGGUGGAGUCUUGGGUUGCUAUGUUGAGGGUUUGGCAGGUGGAGUCUUGGGUUGUUGUGUCUGGAUU